CCUGGUGGCUCAGAUGGUAAAGAAUCUGCCUGCAAUGCAGAAGACCUGGGUUCAAUCCCUGCGUCAGAA
rnacentral:tRNA from 1 species